UGGAGUGAUUUGUCUGGUUAAUUCCGUUAACGAACGAAACCUCGACCUGCUGAAUAGUCCGGCGAGUCGUUAUCGGAUUCGUGCAAGACUUCUUAGAGGGACUUAGCUUAACA
rnacentral:rRNA from 1 species